CACAUGCUAAAUGCCUCAUCUAAACUGGUUCUUGAAAGUGUCAAGAAAACCUCAUCAAAUUCAAGAAACUACACCUUCAUUGGACGCUUUCCUCCUAAUGCUAGCUCCACCUUCAGCCUUUACCAGGCUACUCUCUUCUCUCCUGGUCUCUUGAGUCAUUCAUUCCUCCAGUGACUCCUUAUGGUGAUGAGGGGUUAGGUUGUUAUUACAUUAUGUACACUAGAGGGAAUGGAGGGGGUGAGACUAAACUGUGGAUUGAAGUGAAGGUAAUAAGAGAAACAGUAAAGUGUGUGUAUAGCAACUAAUGGAGUAUCAACAAUCAACUCUAAUUGAAUCAACUGAUGUAUAUGUACAGACAGUGUUGAUACGCUAAUAGUUAAUGAUAGAUAAACAUUACAUUAAUGGGA